rnacentral:rRNA from 1 species
GGCUGGCUGGUGCGCCCUUAUGCAUGCAAGUCGAGCGAAGCUUUUCAGUAGUUUACUACAGAAAAUGACUGAGGACGGGUGAGUAACGCGUGAGCAAUCUACCUUAGUUACAGGGGAUAGCCCGAGGAAACUCGGAUUAAUACCUGAUAUUCUUUAUUUCUCGCAUGAGAAUAAAAGGAAAGUGUCAGCCGAACUAAGAUGAGCUCGCGUUCUAUCAGCUAGUUGGUGAGGUAAAAGCUUACCAAUGGGCUACGACGGAUAGCUGGUCUGAGAGGACGAUCAGCCACACUGGGACUGAGACACGGCCCAGACUCCUACGGGAGUGCUGCAGCACGGGGAAUAUUUGUGCAAUGAACGAAAGUUUUGACACAGCGACACCGCGUGUGGGAUGACGGAUCUAGGUUUGUAAAACCACUUUCAGGAGGGAAGAAAAUGACGGUACCUCCAACGAAGAAGCCCCGGUCAAACUACAGUUGCCAUCCAGGACCGCGGGUCAAUACGUAAGGCGCGAAGACGUUGUCCCGGGAUUUUCAUUUGGGCGUAAAAGAGGCUCGUAAAGCCCGUUUCAACCAAAGUUCGAGGUCGUGAAAAGUUCCACGU